UACGAAGGGGGCUAGCGUUGUUCGGAAUCACUGGGCGUAAAGCGCACGCAGGCGGAUCGUUAAGUCAGGGGUGAAAUCCCGAGGCUCAACCUCGGAACUGCCUUUGAUACUGGCGAUCUUUGAGUCCGGGAGAGGUGAGUGGAACUCCGAGUGUAGAGGUGAAAUUCGUAGAUAUUCGGAAGAACACCAGUGGCGAAGGCGGCUCACUGGCCCGGUACUGACGCUGAGGUGCGAAAGCGUGGGGAGCAAACAGG
rnacentral:rRNA from 1 species